GUCCGAUUAAACUGCUGCUGAAUGUUUUGUCUUUGAAGGUAGCAACUGUAUUAGGGGCAGUACUAUGCAUUGACAGGUUAUAACUUUGAUAAUAUCAUUUUCCGAUCAUGUAUUAGUCAUUGAAUUUUUAAAUGAUUGAAAGCACUGAGGUUUUGUUUUACGUCAAGGCAUGUAUAACUUAAGAGAUUUUUUCCAGAUCUUUGAGAAUUUAGAUGCUCUCCAUUUAUUCAUCUUUUAGAUGUAUUUUUGGCAUAUUUU
rnacentral:lncRNA from 1 species